rnacentral:rRNA from 1 species
AUUGAACGCUGGCGGCAGGCCUAACACAUGCAAGUCGAACGGUAGCACAGAGAGCUUGCUCUCGGGUGACGAGUGGCGGACGGGUGAGUAACGUCUGGGAAACUGCCCGAUGGAGGGGGAUAACUACUGGAAACGGUAGCUAAUACCGCAUAACGUCGCAAGACCAAAGUGGGGGACCAUCGGGCCUCACACCAUCGGAUGUGCCCAGAUGGGAUUAGCUAGUAGGUGGGGUAAUGGCUCACCUAGGCGACGAUCCCUAGCUGGUCUGAGAGGAUGACCAGCCACACUGGAACGGAGACACGGUCCAGACUCCUACGGGAGGCAGCAGUGGGGAAUAUUGCACAAUGGGCGCAAGCCUGAUGCAGCCAUGCCGCGUGUAUGAAGAAGGCCUUCGGGUUGUAAAGUACUUUCAGCGGGGAGGAAGGCGGUGAAGUUAAUAGCUUCACCGAUUGACGUUACCCGCAGAAGAAGCACCGGCUAACUCCGUGCCAGCCGCCGCGGUAA